CGAGAGGCCCAAACGUUAUUCGGAAUUACUGGGCUUAAAGAGUUCGUAGGCGGCAUGACAAGUAGGGUGUGAAAGCCCUCGGCUCAACCGAGGAAUUGCGCUCUAAACUGUCGUGCUUGAGGAACCUAGAGGUGAGCAGAACAGAUGGUGGAGCGGUGAAAUGCGUUGAUAUCAUCUGGAAUACCGGAGGCGAAGGCGGCUCACUGGGAGUUUUCUGACGCUGAGGAACGAAAGCCAGGGUAGCGAACGGGAUUAGAUACCCCGGUAGUCCUGGCCGUAAACGAUGAGCACUAGGCCGGAGCCCUGCACAGGGUUUCGGCCGUAGCUAAAGUGUUAAGUGCUCCGCCUGGGGAGUAUGGUCGCAAGGCUG
rnacentral:rRNA from 1 species